rnacentral:siRNA from 1 species
UAGUACAAUGGUGAUGAUGG